AAAAAAAUUGUCUGAAUUUUCAAUACACAAAGAAAAGUUUUAGUGAAUUUACUUCAGUAAGAUGGAUAAUUUGUUCAAAGUACCAAACACAUUUGCUUUUAUAAUUCAUGCCAUUUGUAUUACAUGUCUACAUGAAAUAGAGAAAGAAUAUAGGACAUGUAACUACACAUGCAAUCUUGGGCUUUCCAAAAUGUUUAAAGUACCAAAUUCCCUUGGUGCCAAUUGUUUUAGGCAUUUCAUCUUCACUCAUUUGCUUCCUAAAUAUAGCAUAGGUGUGAUGUACCCUGUAAAUUUCAAAUUCACAUAAAGAAGUCCCAGCCUUUGAGGCAAGUCUUAAUUGAAUACCAAACGAAAACGUUAGUGUCAUCCGAAAUGUUUCUGAAUAAAUAGUUGCUUUAAAGUCUUCUUUGAUUUCUAUGUUCAUUAGUGUCCAAAUUCAGAAUGGGAACCAAGUUGGGGAGAAAAAGAAACGAAGUCUUUCAGGACAGUCUUUGAAAGAGACUUGGUAAAGAGCACCUUGGGACCCAAAGGCAUGGACAAAAUUCAUCUAAGCAGUGGACGAGAUGCCUCUCUUAUGAUAACCAAUGAUGGUGCCACUAUUCUAAAAAACAUUGGUGUUAACAAUCCAGCAGCUAAAGUUUUAGUUGAUAUGUCAAGGGUUCAAGAUGAUGAAGUUAGUGGCGGGACUACUUCUGUUACCAUUUUAGCAGCAGAAUUAUUAAGGGAAGCAGAAUCUUUAAUUGCAAAAAUGAUUCAUCCACAGACCAUCAUAGCAGGUUGGAGAGAAGCCACAAAGGCUGCAAGAGAGGCUCUGUUGAGUUCCACGGUCGAUCAUGGUUCUGAUAAAGUUAAAUUCCGUCAAGAUUUAAUGAAUGUUGCUGGCACAACAUUAUCCUCAAAACUUCUUACUCAUCACAAAGACCACUUUACUAUGUUAGCUGUAGAAGUGGUUCUCAGACUAAAAGACUCUGGCAACCUGGAGGCAAUUCAUACUAUCAAGAAGCUAGGAGGAAGUUUGGCAGAUUCCUGUUUAGAUGAAGGCUUUCCAUUGGAUAAAAAAAUUGGAGUGAAUCAACCAAAAUGAAUUGAAAAUAUUCAAAUUCUUAUUGCAGACAAUUUUGUCUGUAUGGAUACAGGCAAAAUAAAGAUAUUUGGUUACUGGGAAGAGUUGAUUCUACAGCAAAGUUUGCAGAAAUAGAACAUGUGGAAAAGGAAAAAAUGAAGGAGAAGGUUGAAUGUAUUCUUAAGCAUGGAAUAAAUUGCUUUAUUAACAGGCAGUUAAUUUAUAAUUAUCCUGAACAGCUCUUCGGUACUGCUGGUGUCAGGGCUAUUGAGCAUGCAGAUUUUGCAGGUGUGGAAUGCCUAGUUCUUGUCACCGGUGGUGAAAUUGCCUCUACCUUUGAUCACCCAGAACUCGUGAAGCUUGGAAGCUGCAAACUUAUUGAGGAAGUCAUGAUUGGAGAAGACAAACUCAUUCACUUUUCUGGGGUUGCCCUUGGUGAGGCUUGUACUAUUGUUUUGCGUGGUGCCACUCAACAAAUUUUAGAUGAAGCAGAAAGAUCUUUGCAUGAUGCUGUUUGUGUUCUUGCACAAACUGUAAAGGACUCUAGAACAGUUUAUGGAGGAGGCUGUUCAGAGAUGUUGAUGGCUCAUGCUGUGACACAGCUUACCAAUAGAACACCAGGCAAAGAAGCUGUUGCAAUGGAGUCUUAUGCUAAAUCACUGAGAAUGUUGCCAACCAUCAUAGCUGACAACGCAGGCUAUGACAGUGCAGACCAGCAGCACAGCUCAGAGCUGCUCACCAUGAAGGUAACACCACUGCUGGACUGGAUAUGAGGGAAGGUCCCAUUGGAGAUAUGGCUCUCCUGGGUAUAACAGAAAGUUUUCAAGUAAAGCAACAAGUUCUUCUAAGUGCAGCUAAAGCAGUACAGGUGAUUCUACAUGUGGACGACAUCAUCAAAGCAGCACCCAGGAAGCGUGUCCCUGAUCACCACCCGGGUUAAGCAUUCCCAUGUGCUGUUAAUCUCUGGACCAAUUUCUAGCAAAGCUGUGUUUGAAAGACAGCCUCUUAAAGAAGACUGUGGAAUCUGUUUAUUGGUGCCCAUUAUAUCCUUAAGUUUGGACAUUUAGCUGACCUUCUCUUUUAACAUGGGUCUAAUUUAUUUGCCAUGUAAUUUUCCAUACAAAUCAGUUGAUUGAAAAGUUCAUUUCUCAUACUGUACAUUAAAAUAAAAAUUUGAAUAAUUAAAAAAAAGAUGUGACAGAUAAUUUUUUUGGCUAAGACAGGGUAGAUUCAAGUAGUCAGGUAAUAGAAAAGGGAGUGCCUUGUGUAUCAACUCAUGCUGGAAUUUGUGAAAUCGUAUAAAGUUUGAUAGAAAAAAUGUUAAAUUCAUCAAACCUUGUUUAGUCAUAAUCCUUACAAUUUCUGAUUUAGUAUAACAUCCUGAGUAAAUUUUUUCAGACUGAUGGAGAGAAGAAAUUAUUCUUUGCAAUAUGUAAAUUUCUGACUAAUAGGAGUAAAAGAAAAUAAUUGGUUCCUUAGGAUAUUUCUGGUUACUUAUGAGACAUUUGAGGAGGGACUCUGUCUAACCAUUGUUUUUAACCCUUGUUGUUGGUGGGUAGACAGAACAUUAAUGCUACAUGAAAGAUAGUUACUCUUGAAUCCUCAAGAGAAAGUAGGUUAUUUUUUUCUCUGUUAUCCAAGAAACUUUUAACAAUUCUAAAGAAAGAAGUAAAAAGCACUUAGUUUUCAGAAGCAUGUUUCAGCUUCUUGCAUCAGGAGUAGGCCAGAUGGCCACGUUCUGUAUGGCUUUAUAAAUAUUCCUUUUUGUUCCAUGUAAAAGUUAAUGGCUAGUUUUAAACCAUGGUAUCAUUUUGAAAUCAGACCUUAUGUGCUUAACUUCAUUCAAACUAUUUCUAUUUUGUUAGACUGUGGAAAACACAGAGCUGAGCUAUUAAAAUUCCAGAGCAGUUUGGAAUUGCCAACAAUAUGUACUGGAGAGAUGGGGAUGGAGUCUGAAGUCAAACGAAUUUGAAACUAGUCUCCUUUUACAUGCUGGGUGACUUUGGACAAGGGGAAAAGCUACCCGUGGGGUUUCUGUGAAUGUUAAAUGAAAUAAUACAUGCAGAGUGCUUGAAGUAAUGCUAGGGACAUAGCAAACCAAAAAAAUGUUAGCCAGUUUAUUAUUGGAAGGGAAAAACUCCUAUUAAUAUUUUCUUAUUUAUGUUUGUGUUUUUGUGGUUGUCAUGAAACAGGCUACUAUUUGAGAAUGUAAGAAUUUUAACCAUUUACAAAAUGGUAUGUGAUAUGACAUGUAUAUGAUCUUUCACAAGUGAAAUGAUAAUGGAAAGUUUACUGAAAGUGUCAGAACAGUUCUAGAUAAAAUAAUUUUUGCUUAAUUUGGAAAUAAAAGUAUGAAUCUGGGUUUAAACUAAAUUUAUUAUUCUGUUAAAGUCACAUGAAUAUGGAAAAAAAUCAGUAUCACUUCUAACUAAACCUGGCCUUGAAACUUCUUUGACGUGGUCUUCUUAAAAUAUAUAUAUUAUAUAUUCUAAAUAGCAUGUUAUUUAGAAAUAUACUAUUUCUAAACUGAAGUAUCUAACUGAUAUUUCUGAUAUAUAUACACUUAUAUAUGAUAUAUGAUUAUAUAUGAUAUAUAUUAUCUAUAUGAUGUAUAUUAUAUAUGAUAUAUAUUUCUAACUGAUAUAACUAGAAGUAUGUCAGUUCUUAGAUAUAUGUAAAUUAUAUUUUAAUAGUAGCCUACAAUGAUGGUACAAGAAGAUAAGAGAUCUAUAUAUACAUUUAUAUAUAAAUAGUUCAACAACAAGAUUUUUAUGUAGAAUAACUUUCUACAGUUUUAUUUAGGGUAAUUUCUAUACAGAAAAAAUACACAUUUUAUCUCCUUUUUGUGCUAAGAUCUGGAGAUGCAAUGGUGCCUCCCUCCCUUCCUGGAGCUUACCAAGCAAAACAAAUUCACUAAAUAAAAUUAUUCCUAAUUGUGUUUUAAGUGCAGUGAAGAGAACAUAGGAGGGGCCGAGUUAAACCAUCUGUUUGUGUAUAUCUGUGUAUGGGUGUGUGUCUGUGUCUGUGUGUGUCUGUGUAUCCUAGAGAUGUGCUUUAGUUGGAGUGGUCAAGGAAGUUGAGAACUGAAAGAACCAGUCAAACAAACAGUAGGGAGAAGAUUAUAGCAGGUACAAAGGUCUUGAAUAUUCAGCAGAUAUGAGGAGCAGAGGCUCUGUUUUUUAAUCACUUAAAAAGGAAAAGAAGUGAGAUUGCUGUCUUAAGAUCUUAAAUUUAUAUGGCACUCAUGUAUAGAUUUCCAGUGAAAAGUUGGACAUCAUGAAAUGAUGGGUUUCCCACCUACCAGUCCCCAGUGUUUGUCUUUGACUGGGGUGUUUUCUGUAUAUAUCUGACCUGAUUUCUAUUGCUAGCCUGUCUUCCCAGGGACCUUGGUGAGCUGAGGUCAAAGAGAGUGGACUGCACCUAGGAAAGAAGGAAAGUCUUUUGAAAUAAACGUGCCCUUGAAAAAUAUUCUGCUGCUUUAAUCUCUCCUCUUUACAGAAAGUUUAAGAUGCUCCUAAGAAUUUGACUCACUAAACUUCAAGAGCAUUUUUAUUAGGUGUAAGAUCUCACUUUGACUUUAGGUGCCAAAUCACACACCAGGCAACCCACACUGAAUUCUCUGUUGCCAUAAGUGCAUAGAUUUCAGUGUUCUAAUGCCUCUAUGAGCUAAAUUUACUUAUGAUUUGAGUUCAAAAUUUAACCGAAUAGUAGAUAUAUGUGUAUAAAACAACAACAGUUUUACCAAAUGGUUAGAAUACUUUUCCCGAAGAUCGUAAUGCUGGCCUUCAGCUAAUAAUAGGAUGUGCCUGCUGGACUGAAUGACAUGGUUGAUACAAAAGACAGAUGUAAGCCAUGGCCCCCCAAACUGGAGUAGGGAUGAGCAUGUCAGCCACACAUGCCAAAGGCCAGGCACUGAUAUUCUUACUGGCAAGACUGCUCAGGAUGUAUGUGGCGUUCUUUUCCCUGGCCACCCUUAAGGAGUUUAUGAAUGGGUUCUAUCAGCUCCAAACAGCAAACACACUUUGGCCUGUAUGAACUGAAACCCAUCAUAGAUCAUAGCCACAAUCAUCUUCCUCACGUAUUCUAGUUCUCAAGUAUAUUUUGGAUCAUAAAACAACAAAAUAAUGACAAAAGCAACAAUAACAACCAAAAGUAACUUAAAUAAGACUUUAGUAUGAAAUGUAUUGCACUGUAAUCAUUUCAAUAUUACAAUGCAUUAAAGAUGUAUGUAUCACUCUAUUACUCUGUGCUCAUCCUCCCUUUUUAUACAAAAUAAAACAUAAUCUGCGUAUUCAUUGUUCUGCAGUUUGUAUUUUGCACUUGACAGUGUGUUGAUUCAUAGAGAAGCUUCUUGUGUUGUUAUGGAAGAACUUUACUGAGAUAUAACUCACAUGCCAUCUAUACAGGGUAUGUAAUUUAUUGAUUUUUACUAUAUUCAGACAGUUGUUGGUUAAUAUCUACCAUUCUUUGGCCAUAAUGAAUAACAGGAUUUUCUCUGCACAGAUAUGUCCAUUUAAGUAAAGAUGCCAAUGCAGCUAAAUAGAAUCACUCAAAAACAACUCCAAAAUGAGCCAGGGAGAGUGGAGGGAAGGAAAGGGAGGAAUGCAUCCAAACAUAGCCCUGUCUUCCAUGAACACUCAGUAAUGUCAUCAAAACAUGAUGCAAUUAAAUUUUACCAAGUUUAUUGCCGUCCUUGAUGCUUUCCAAUUUUUUUGACAACAGUUUUGCCUUCUUCAAAUUCAAAUGGUGUAAUUGGGUCUUGGUAGUUGAUGUUUAUCUUAAUUGAAACAGAUUCUCUUCAUCCUUUUUCUCUGAGACUCCUCCUUUGAGACUGAAAGGUCAUUUUAAAUCUGUACCGCAUUUGAGAAGCCACAUAAUGAAUUCAAAUAAAUUCUUGCCUAUUAAAAGGAGGCUUCUCUUUCUUAACUUCCAGAGCUUACAUAGAAUAAACCAUUUGAUUUUUGUCUAACUUUUCUUUUAAAAGGAACUUAUUGUGCUUACUUUUUAAUGCUGUAACUACAGAGAAUGGGGAAAUCCUAGGUUUUCAUUUAUUCCUGUCAGAAAAAAAGUGUAUUUUGUUCAGUAAUUGCAAUAAAAUCCUACUGGGGUAUACAGCUACUAGUCACCAAAUUUAAGGGAUAUUCUUUAGUUGCAUUACUUUAAGGAUUUCUUAUCUAUUAUCUAGCAACUUCACUUUUUAACGUUUACUCUAUGUACUUGUGUAAAGGUUCAAAAAAAUAUGUCCAAAAUGUUCUGCUGCAGUUUUUGUAACAGAACACUGGAGAGAGCCUAAUUGUCAAUCUGUACAUGACUGAUUGAACAACUGAUGCACAACUAUAAAACAAUACUGUGCAUCUAUGAGGAAGAUCUUUCAUGUGCUGGUAUGGCUGUGGCGCUCUCUACAGAUGAUGCUUACUAUUGUUAUUAUUGUUAUACUUUGAAAAGAUGACAUGCACACUCCCAUGUAUCCACUUUCAUUAGUUUCUUUGUAUAUACCUUUAGGGUUUAUGUAAAUGCAAUGAAAAUAUAAGUUCUAUUCUCUUCCUCCCUUUUUACACAAAAGAAGUAUAAUCUGCAUAUUCAUUGUUCUGUGGCUUGUAUUUUGCACUUGACAGUGUGUCAAUACAUAGAGAAGCUUCUUGUGUUGUUUUGGAAGAACUUUAUGGAGGUAUAACUCACAUAUCAUACUCUUCAUCAAUAGAGGGUGUAUAAUUUAGAGAUUUUUAGUCUAUUCACACAGUUUUGCAACCAUCACCAAAUUCAAUUGAGAACAUUUUCCUACCAGUAUAAGAAGCCCCUUACCCUGUAGUAUCACCCUCCAAUUCCGCCAUUGCCUGCUCUAUAUCCACUGCCCCUCCUGCACCCCACAGCCCUAGGCAACAACGACUCUACCUUUUUUUCUCUAUAAUUUGCCUAUUCUGAAUGUUUCUUAUAAAUAGAAUCAUAUAAUAUGUGGUCUUUUGUGACAUGCUUCUUUCAAGGCUCAUUCAUGUUGUAGCACACAUCAGAUUGUAUUUUUUAGGAGCAAAUAAUAUUCCAUUGUAUGACUAUACCACAUUUUGUUUAUUCAUCUGUUGAUAGAUAUUUGCAUUGUUUCACUUUUUGGCUAUUUCAAAUUGUACUGCAGUGAACAUUUAUGCAAAAGUGUUUGUAUGUUCAAUUUUUCUUUCUUCUGGGUACAUUCCUAGUAGUGGAAUUGCUGGGACAAAUGGUAGCUCUAAGUUUAACUUUUUGGUUGUUUUCCAAAGUGUCUGCAUUUUCAUCUUUCUUACAGCAGAAAGUGAUUCUGUUGAAUGGCUCUAUCAUUAUUGAUUUAGUCAAGGUGUAUUUUUAAGUGGAGAAGUUAAGGCACAGUGUUCCCAGUUAUGGAAAAAUAUGCAAAGACUGUACAUACAUAAAUAUGUUUCACUCAAAAGCAUCUUUCUGCAUGUGCACUCAAGGUAAUGGUAAAGUUGCUAGCUUUGAGGAAGAGGUGGCUACAAGUUUGAAAUCUGAGGUAGAACGGGACUGAGUACUCACCAUUUUAAAUUUGGGGGAAUUUUACUAUGUGUGCUAAUUAAUUUUUCAGUUGAAAAUAUGAUUCAUUAAUGUAAAAAAGAAGAACUGUAUUUUCUUGGAACUCCUUUGAUCAGUGUUGGUCAGGCCAGGGGCGUCUUGACCCGUGCUUUGAGUCAUCCUGCACUGUGAGGUGCUUAGUGCUGUACAAGCACUCUUCUUGACAUCUGCUCUAUUUGACACCAUUUUUAGUUACUAGGGCAAGAAAAAAACAAAAAACAAAAACGAUAAUUGCUUCUCUGUCUUUAAGCCAAGAUAUCAUUUAAAAACCAGACAUUUAGCUCUUACUCUAAAUGAGUGUUUCUCAACUGUUUUAUUCAAAUUAAUCCACCUCAAAAGCAAAAUAGGAGGGAAAAUUAGGGUGAACAUCUGGGUGAACCUUGGGAUUGAGAAAUAGGAGGGCAGUAUAUGAACUAAUCAUGAAUGGUAUUAGGAAAUGAAGCUGGGCAGUCUGUCUGACGUCCUUCAUAGUUUCUUGUACAUUCUUUCUGAAAUAUCGUGUAUUGAUAACUGGAAGAGGGAGUCAUCACUUUCUGCACAGUAGCCAUCAUGUAGCUCUGAAUGGGCUUUGUGUUUGCUCUCAUCUUUGCUUGAAAAUCAGCUGUCUUAGUUUGGGUUUUUCUGCUCUUUAAGACAAAACUAAUCUAUAGUGGUUACAUAUGAAACACACUAGUAGAUUUGAUUCUGCCUUUCCUUACAUUCGCUUGCCUUAUUAAAUGAUAGGAAAGAAUCAAAAUUCAUUUGCCGUAUUGACUUGUUCAUUCUUGUAUUCACUUAUCUAUUCGUCAAGCAUUUAUUAAUCCAACGCUCCUGUAACAUCACUCCUCACUAAGUGAUGAUUCCUUCUGGGGUGCCGAGGAAAGCUUGAUUUCCAGCUGGAGGAAGAAUAAUUUAGUAUCCUUUUUAAUGAUCAGAAUCCUAAACAAACCCAAUUUUGAAAAAUAACAUGACUUUGCUAAAAAUACAUUAAAAAGAUAAAGAGAUGCUAUGAAAAUGAAAUUUUAAUAAUGUAAAAAAUUGGGGGUUAUCAGAAAUUCAUAAACUGACUUUACUUAGAGCUAGAAAGCCCCUUUGAGACGAGUAAAGUCAUGAAUGAAAAAAUGCAUACCUUUUCUUCAAUCAUUGUCUAUAUCCCACCGUGAUAAUGAGGAGUAUGCUAUGUGUAGUGACUGUGUUUGCAGAUGGAGGAGGUUUGGGUAACGGAAGUAAAGAUGCUCCCAGAACAAGUACCACAUCCAGUUAGCUUACCAGUUAGCAAUCUAUUCCUGAAGUAUUUGUUUAUGAAGAUGAUUAUAACUAGACAGAAGUCUUAUUUUAUUUUUUUGUUUAUAUAUGAAGAUAUCAUAAAAUGUUUUCUUUUCAAACAGCAAUACAUUUUUUCUUUGGCAGCGCUAUUGUUUAUUUUAAAAGAAAAGACAGUAACUAAUCCCAGCAUUUUAAAAUGAAUAAAUAGAGACUUUGACGCUGUAAAGGCAGCAUAAAGCCAUUUGCCAAAUGUCAACAGAGUUCACAAAGAAUUCUGUGUUGUAAAAACCUCACAGUUGCCUAGUUUACUCCCUCAUCCAAAAAACGAGAGGGACAAGAUUCUUUGAUAUUUUUAUGUAUAGUGUAACUAGAGAAUGUGACUUCAGUGAUGAUGAUGAUCUAAUUGCAAUGCUAAGAACCACGGCUAGGCUGGGACUGUGGGUGCACAUUGUCAGGCUGGGGAGCGUGGGUAGCUGGCAAAGAAAGCAAUGGUGAGAGUAUCACUUGGAUAUUUAUUUCUGGAUCUUAUUCUAUCUGUUCCAUACACUUUGGUGUUUAGAAUCUAGAUGAUGGCUGGAUGGGUGCAGUAGCUCAAACCUAUAAUCCUAACACUUUGGGAGGCUGAGAUGGGAGGAUCGCUUGAGUCGAGGAGUGUAAGACCAGUCUUGACAACAUAGGAAGAUCCUGUCUCUCCAAAAAAAA